UGGUAGCUUGAGAACGGGUGGACUUCAACUCCUAGAUGUCUCCAGUUUAGCCAGGCUGGCUGGGAAAUUCUGGGAGCUGAAGUCCUUCCAUCUUCAGGUUGGCAAGGCUGGCGAACCCUGAAGACCCCAGAAGUCCACCACCAGAAGUCCAGACUCUCUCAGGGAGCUGCAGUUUUUUAACCCAGCAAGCGAUAAAGUACCCAAUGGAAUUAAUCACAUUUAUUUAGCUGGAUCCCUCUCGAGUGAUGUGACGUCAAAUGGACCUUUGUCCUUCCUGUGCCCACUCUUGACUCCGAUGCCACCUUCUUUGGGGAAUGUAGGUUCUGACAGGUUGGCCAAGCACCUGACCUGGCUUUCCUCUCUUCCAACAUGUCACAUCCCAAAUCUGGAUCCCGUUGAAAGCCGUGGGACUUCCUUAAUGAAUCAAUAUGGGAUUCUGGUACAGAUCGAAUCCAUUGUUUCCCGAGAAAAUAGGCACCCAUUCAAGGAAGACUCAGCCAGCUUCAACUGAGGUUUUCUUCCAAAGGAGGAUGGUGGAGGAUUUGCAAUCGGCCAUAUUUUUAAGAGGAAUGCUGUGACUAAACCUUGGAGCAGCACAAAACGUGGGACCUUCUCCAAUCAAAAUAAUUAUUAGCCGUAUGAAGCAGAAAAUCAAGCCGGACCAGGAAUAGCGGUAGAUGCUAAGAGAAAGGAAAUUAAACACCCCUUUCCUUCUUCUCCACGUGUGCUGGGCUGUUGGAAAAGCACUGUAGUUUCCUGCACUGUGUUUGCGUGGCCAGGAUGUACCUUCACGCAGGAAGUCAGAAAAUGGAAUCCCUCAGUUGGCCCAAACUGCACAAAGGCUUCAUAGGAUCAGAAAGACCGUGAUUUAAUGCAUGCUUCUCUCAAACCACCUCACAUCCUGGCUCUGUCUGCAACAGUUUGGUGACAGAAUGAUUGCAGCAAAAUGGUUUGCUGGUUAUUCGGGGUAAUCGCAAAACGGAGACACGAUUCUGCAAAAGAUUCAGCUGUGCCGGGAGAAGUAGCCCUUGAUUUACAAACAUUUGCUUGGCGGCCGUUCAAAGUCACACCAGCACUGAAAAAAAAAAAGACUUACAACCAGUCCUCGGGCUUAUAACUGUCGCAGCAGCCCCAUGGUCAUGGGAUCAAAAUUCACAUUUCAGCAAUCCCUUUUUUCAGCUCACCUGAUUUCCAUUUGUGACCUUCUCAGUCCGUUUCUGGCAAGUAAAAUCAAUAGAGAGUCACUUAAUGGCUGCAAUGAUUCACUUAACAACCAUGUUUUUGGAGAUUCAGUCAUCCAGGUCAUGGUUGUCCCAAAGGUGCUUUUUCCAAAAGUAACUGGAUUUUCAUUGUUUUUCCUUG